rnacentral:rRNA from 1 species
AGGAUGAACGCUGGCGGCGUGCUUAACACAUGCAAGUCGAACGAAGCACCUUGGAACGAGUCUUCGGACAAAUGAAUUGGUGACUUAGUGGCGGACGGGUGAGUAACGCGUGGGUAACCUGCCUCACACAGGGGGGAUAACAGUUAGAAAUGACUGCUAAAACCGCAUAACAUGGGCGAGACCGCAUGACCUUGCCAUCAAAUAUUUAUAGGUGUGAGAUGGGCCCGCGUCUGAUUAGCUAGUUGGUAGGGUAAUGGCCUACCAAGGCGACGAUCAGUAGCCGGCUUGAGAGAGUGAACGGCCACAUUGGGACUGAGACACGGCCCAAACUCCUACGGGAGGCAGCAGUGGGGGAUAUUGGACAAUGGGGGAAACCCUGAUCCAGCGACGCCGCGUGAGUGAAGAAGUAUUUCGGUAUGUAAAGCUCUAUCAGCAGGGAAGAAAAAUAACCAAAUUGACUGUACCUGACUAAGAAGCCCCGGCUAACUACGUG